rnacentral:rRNA from 6 species
UCUAAACGACUCUCGGCAACGGAUAUCUCGGCUCUCGCAUCGAUGAAGAACGUAGCGAAAUGCGAUACUUGGUGUGAAUUGCAGAAUCCCGUGAACCAUCGAGUCUUUGAACGCAAGUUGCGCCCGAAGCCUUUUGGCCGAGGGCACGCCUGCCUGGGCGUCAC